AUUUAUAUAGUUUAAGUAAAACUUUAUAUUUUCAAUAUAAAAAUAAUUUAAAUAAAUUUGUAAAUA
rnacentral:tRNA from 1 species